rnacentral:rRNA from 1 species
UACGAAGGGGGCUAGCGUUGCUCGGAAUCACUGGGCGUAAAGCGCACGUAGGCGGCUUGUUAAGUCAGGGGUGAAAUCCUGGAGCUCAACUCCAGAACUGCCUUUGAUACUGGCGAGCUUGAGUUCGGGAGAGGUGAGUGGAACUGCGAGUGUAGAGGUGAAAUUCGUAGAUAUUCGCAAGAACACCAGUGGCGAAGGCGGCUCACUGGCCCGGUACUGACGCUGAGGUGCGAAGGCGUGGGGAGCAAACAGG